rnacentral:rRNA from 1 species
AAACCGUGUACGUACAAGCAGUGGGAGCACGCUUAGGCGUGUGACUGCGUACCUUUUGUAUAAUGGGUCAGCGACUUAUAUUCUGUAGCAAGGUUAACCGAAUAGGGGAGCCGAAGGGAAACCGAGUCUUAACUGGGCGUUAAGUUGCAGGGUAUAGACCCGAAACCCGGUGAUCUAGCCAUGGGCAGGUUGAAGGUUGGGUAACACUAACUGGAGGACCGAACCGACUAAUGUUGAAAAAUUAGCGGAUGACUUGUGGCUGGGGGUGAAAGGCCAAUCAAACCGGGAGAUAGCUGGUUCUCCCCGAAAGCUAUUUAGGUAGCGCCUCGUGAAUUCAUCUCCGGGGGUAGAGCACUGUUUCGGCAAGGGGGUCAUCCCGACUUACCAACCCGAUGCAAACUGCGAAUACCGGAGAAUGUUAUCACGGGAGACACACGGCGGGUGCUAACGUCCGUCGUGAAGAGGGAAACAACCCAGACCGCCAGCUAAGGUCCCAAAGUCAUGGUUAAGUGGGAAACGAUGUGGGAAGGCCCAGACAGCCAGGAUGUUGGCUUAGAAGCAGCCAUCAUUUAAAGAAAGCGUAAUAGCUCACUGGUCGAGUCGGCCUGCGCGGAAGAUGUAACGGGGCUAAACCAUGCACCGAAGCUGCGGCAGCGACGCUUAUGCGUUGUUGGGUAGGGGAGCGUUCUGUAAGCCUGUGAAGGUGUGCUGUGAGGCAUGCUGGAGGUAUCAGAAGUGCGAAUGCUGACAUAAGUAACGAUAAAGCGGGUGAAAAGCCCGCUCGCCGGAAGACCAAGGGUUCCUGUCCAACGUUAAUCGGGGCAGGGUGAGUCGACCCCUAAGGCGAGGCCGAAAGGCGUAGUCGAUGGGAAACAGGUUAAUAUUCCUGUACUUGGUGUUACUGCGAAGGGGGGACGGAGAAGGCUAUGUUGGCCGGGCGACGGUUGUCCCGGUUUAAGCGUGUAGGCUGGUUUUCCAGGCAAAUCCGGAAAAUCAAGGCUGAGGCGUGAUGACGAGGCACUACGGUGCUGAAGCAACAAAUGCCCUGCUUCCAGGAAAAGCCUCUAAGCAUCAGGUAACAUCAAAUCGUACCCCAAACCGACACAGGUGGUCAGGUAGAGAAUACCAAGGCGCUUGAGAGAACUCGGGUGAAGGAACUAGGCAAAAUGGUGCCGUAACUUCGGGAGAAGG